AUUUAUUCAAGCCGACUAUGUUGCCUUUCGUUUGGUCAUUUUCCAGUUCUAAUAUAGUCAUCCUUGUCCCAUUUUUGGAUCAAUUUCAAAGAGAAAAUUUUGCCCAACUUUCCUAAGUCAUUUUCCCAUCUUUUAGAUCCUUAAUAACAGAAGCCCAACUUUGUUUAUUUUAUUUCGUUAGGACUAAUUUCGUUUUCAAUCAGCCAGAAAGCCCGAUAUUUUCAACCCGGCUCACCUCUCUAUCGCCAACAUUACAACAGCCCCAACUUCAUCUAUUCUUUCUCACCACAAAUCAACUCCACAUGCUGCGAAAACACAAAAAGUGUCGGUCCAGCGACCAUGAUGAACGAGACGCGAUGGAAGUAGCGUACAGUCGUCUUCUGCGCUCACAUGUUUUCAGCAGCUAAAGCAGCUGCUAUGGCUGCAGAUUCAUCCUUGUGACCUUUAGAUUGAGGCACGUAGUGUCUCAAGGACGUUUGAUCGAUCCCAAGCAUCCACUUCCCCUUUCCCAUUUCAGAAUAGGGUCGAAAAUCCCAAAAAGGUUGGUCUAUACAUUUUGAUAAAAGUUUUGGGGGUGUUUUUUUUGUAAUUGAAAGUGAAUUAUGGAAUUUCCAUGGAUACCCUUUUCCCUCCAAAAAUUGGUUACACUAAUAUUCCUCCUAUAUAUUUUCUCUUCAUCUCGUUGAUAGAACUAAGGGGAGACGGAAAAAGAAGAGAAGCUGUUUGAGAAAAGAUUUCUUUGAGAAAAGUUUUUCUUCAGUAGAACAUUGCCUGGCAAGAAGAUAGCAAGAAAGACAGUAAAGAAAGUUAAAAAAAUUAUACACUAAAUGCAUCUGAAAGAGAGGAGUGAAUAGCUUAGAGCUUAGUUUAGUUUCACAUCCAAACUUCCGUUUUCUUGGUCGGAAACUCAAGUUUUUCAAUCUGGCGGUGAGAAACUCGUCUUCUUCAACUCGAAUUCUCGUCCCCAUUCGCUACCCAGAAAAAGAGGCGAUGUUGAAACCUUUAUCCAGUCAAUCAUCCAAAAUCGGCGGACAGAUUUUGGAGUAGAAAUAGCUUGAACAAGUCGAAGAAAUUGAAGGAUUUGUGUUAGAGAGUCCAAAAGUUCUUUUUUAUUUUCUAAGUUGUCAUGUUUUGUCGUUUUUGGGCCUAAGCCCUUGUCGUUUUGUCUUCCAUAUUUUGUAUUGUUGUAUGAUUAUAGACUAGAACAUGUACAAAAUAAAGUGAACCAAAAGCCCAAAACAAAGCGGGUCCAAAUACCGAUCCAGGCGGACAGAAAUUGGAUUUAGACACAA